rnacentral:rRNA from 1 species
UACGUAGGGCGCAAGCGUUGUCCGGAAUUAUUGGGCGUAAAGAGCUCGUAGGCGGUCUGUUGCGUCCGCUGUGAAAACUCGGGGCUUAACCCCGAGCCUGCAGUGGAUACGGGCAGACUAGAGGUAGGUAGGGGAGAAUGGAAUUCCCGGUGUAGCGGUGAAAUGCGCAGAUAUCAGGAGGAACACCGGUGGCGAAGGCGGGUCUCUGGGCCGGUACCGACGCUGAGGAGCGAAAGCGUGGGGAGCGAACAGG